AGUGAAGAAGGCCUUCGGGUUGUAAAGCUCUUCGGUGGGAACGAAAUGGGGCGUGUGAACAAUGCGCCUCGAUGACGGUACUCACAGAAGAACGCACCGGCUAACUACGUGCCAGCAGCCGCGGUAAUACGUAGGGUGCGAGCGUUAAUCGGAAUUACUGGGCGUAAAGCGUGCGCAGGCGGUCUUGCAAGCUGGGUGUGGAAAGCCCCGGGCUCAACCUGGGAGGUGCAUUCAGGACUGCGAGGCUGGAGUGCGGCAGAGGGAGGUGGAAUUCCACGUGUAGCAGUGAAAUGCGUAGAGAUGUGGAGGAACACCGAUGGCGAAGGCAGCCUCCUGGGCCGACACUGACGCUCAUGCACGAAAGCGUGGGGAGCAAACAGGAUUAGAUACCCUGGUAGUCCACGCCCUAAACGAUGUCGACUGGUUGUUGGGGAAGGCAACUUCCUUAGUAACGAAGCUAACGCGUGAAGUCGACCGCCUGGGGAGUACGGCCGCAAGGUUA
rnacentral:rRNA from 1 species